UAGUGGGUGGGAGAGCCACGCGUGCUCUGCUCUGGCGUCCCGUCACUCUGUCCCGCGGUGGGGUAGAGUCCCGAGGUCAAAGCCUGGAAGGAGAGAAGAAUCAGCUGUUGCACUGAGACUCAGCACGUGGCCUUGAAUGAUGUUUGACGGAGAUGGAAAUGUAUAUUUUCCCUUCCGCGCCACGUGUCCCUGUACCAUAACAUGAAAUAAGCGCUCCUUCCGGCGGCCAGCAAGUCGAUUGUCCUUCGAAGGAUCUCCAAGGACGAGGGGAAAGGACAGCCAUGGAGAGGAAGGACAAUAAUAAUGAUAGAAAUAGUAAUAAUAAAACACAAAGUGAAAAGAUUGGGCGAGAAAAGUCCACUUAGGUAAUCGGUGGAGAGUGUCUGUGUUUUAAGUUUUUUGGUUAUUCAGUGAAAAAUAAUAAUAAUCGUUCGUAGAAAGUAUUGUUUGUAGAAAAGGCUAAA